GAAGAACUCCCUCCGUUCGGAAAUAUUUGUCGGAGAAAUGAAUAAAAAUUGAUGUAUCUAGAACUAAAAUACAUCUAAAUACAUCCAUUUCUCCAACAAGUAUUUCCGGACGGAGGGAGUAUAUA
rfam:Triticum urartu cultivar G1812 contig223596, whole genome shotgun sequence.